CGUAGGGUGCGAGCGUUAAUCGGAAUUACUGGGCGUAAAGCGGGCGCAGACGGUUACUUAAGCAGGAUGUGAAAUCCCCGGGCUCAACCUGGGAAUUGCGUUCUGAACUGGGUGGCUAGAGUGUGUCAGAGGGGGUAGAAUUCCACGUGUAGCAGUGAAAUGCGUAGAGAUGUGGAGGAAUACCGAUGGCGAAGGCAGCCCCCUGGGAUGGCACUGACGUUCAUGCCCCGAAAGCGUGGGUAGCAAACAGGAUU
rnacentral:rRNA from 1 species